rnacentral:rRNA from 1 species
AGCGAACGCUGGCGGCAGGCCUAACACAUGCAAGUCGAACGGAUCCUUCGGGAUUAGUGGCGGACGGGUGAGUAACACGUGGGAACGUGCCCUUUGGUUCGGAACAACUCAGGGAAACUUGAGCUAAUACCGGAUGUGCCCUUCGGGGAAAGAUUUAUCGCCAUUGGAGCGGCCCGCGUCUGAUUAGCUAGUUGGUGAGGUAAAGGCUCACCAAGGCGACGAUCAGUAGCUGGUCUGAGAGGAUGAUCAGCCACAUUGGGACUGAGACACGGCCCAAACUCCUACGGGAGGCAGCAGUGGGGAAUCUUGCGCAAUGGGGCGAAAGCCUGACGCAGCCAUGCCGCGUGAAUGAUGAAGGUCUUAGGAUUGUAAAAUUCUUUCACCGGGGACGAUAAUGACGGUACCCGGAGAAGAAGCCCCGGCUAACUUCGUGCCAGCAGCCGCGGUAAU